CAGAGAAUAGUUUAUUAAAAUAUUAAUUUUGGAGAUUAAUGAUGGGAUGUAUCCUUUCUCUGA
rnacentral:tRNA from 1 species